rnacentral:rRNA from 1 species
AUGGGGCCCGUGCCUCGGCUAGGCAGGGGGGCCCGUGUGGCGUGCCUGGCCGUGCCGGACCAUCUAGGCAGGUUUGACGCUGCAAGACCAACCCAGUGGCAGGCUCCGGCCACGGGAUGCGUGAAGAUCAAUGUGGACGCGGCCGCACCAAGGCAAGCCCGUUUCGGGGCUGUGGGUGCAAUCUGCAGAAGCUCAGAUGGUCUGUUUUUGGGAGCUUCGGCGCUGAUCAUAGAGCAUAUUGGGGACCCGGAAACGCUGGAGGCCAUGGCGAUCAGAGAAGGCCUUGCACUUGCGGAGGACUUGUACCAAAGGCGUAUUCAUGUUGCAUCGGAUUGCAAGAAGGCAGUAGACUCUCUGAAAAAGGAGGACGCAUCUCCAUAUGGUGCUAUUGUGCAUGAAAUAUUAAGCCAUUCUGCAACUUUUGAUAUGUGUAGGUUUAGCCAUGAGUUUAGGAGCUCAAAUUAUGAAGCUCACAACUUAGCGAAGCAUGCUUUAUCUCUCGGGGGUGGCCGCCGUGUAUGGUUAGGCCAUCCCGGAGAUCUUUCUUUCGUCCCUGUAAACAUUGUGACGAAUCAAUAA